rnacentral:rRNA from 1 species
AGAGUUUGAUCCUGGCUCAGAGCGAACGCUGGCGGCAGGCCUAACACAUGCAAGUCGAGCGCCGUAGCAAUACGGAGCGGCAGACGGGAGAGUAACACGUGGGAACGUGCCCUUCAGUUCGGAACAACCCAGGGAAACUUGGGCUAAUACCGGAUACGUCCGUAAGGAGAAAGAUUUAUCGCUGAAGGAUCGGCCCGCGUCUGAUUAGCUAGUUGGUGGGGUAAUGGCCCACCAAGGCGACGAUCAGUAGCUGGUCUGAGAGGAUGAUCAGCCUCACUGGGACUGAGACACGGCCCAGACUCCUACGGGAGGCAGCAGUGGGGAAUAUUGGACAAUGGGCGCAAGCCUGAUCCAGCCAUGCCGCGUGGGUGAUGAAGGCCCUAGGGUUGUAAAGCCCUUUCGGCGGGGAAGAUAAUGACGGUACCCGCAGAAGAAGCCCCGGCUAACUUCGUGCCAGCAGCCGCGGUAAUACGAAGGGGGCUAGCGUUGCUCGGAAUCACUGGGCGUAAAGCGCACGUAGGCGGCUUUUUAAGUCAGGGGUGAAAUCCUGGAGCUCAACUCCAGAACUGCCUUUGAUACUGAGAAGCUUGAGUCCGGGAGAGGUGAGUGGAACUGCGAGUGUAGAGGUGAAAUUCGUAGAUAUUCGCAAGAACACCAGUGGCGAAGGCGGCUCACUGGCCCGGUACUGACGCUGAGGUGCGAAAGCGUGGGAAGCAAACAGGAUUAGAUACCCUGGUAGUCCACGCCGUAAACGAUGGAUGCUAGCCGUUGUCGGGUUUACCCGUCAGUGGCGCAGCUAACGCAUUAAGCAUCCCGCCUGGGGAGUACGGUCGCAAGAUUAAAACUCAAAGGAAUUGACGGGGGCCCGCACAAGCGGUGGAGCAUGUGGUUCAAUUCGAAGCAACGCGAAGAACCCUUACCAGCCUUUGACAUCCCGGUCGCGGGCACCAGAGAUGGAGCCCUUUCAGUUCGGCUGGGACCGGGGACAGGUGCUGCAUGGCUGUCGUCAG